UGAAUUUUGAAGGGCCGCGGUAUUUCUGACCGUGCGAAGGUAGCAUAAUCAUUAGUCUUUUAAUUUGAGGCUCGUAUGAAUGGUCGGACGAGGGAUAAACUGUUUUCAAGUAAAAAACUCGAAUUUAACUUUUAAGUGAAAAGGCUUAAAUAUUUCAAAAAGACGAUAAGACCCUAUAAAUCUUUACAUUAAAUGCUAUGUUAUUCUAAAUUAUUAGUAAAAGGAAACCCAUAGUAAAAAUGUUAUGUUGGGGCAACAAAGAUAUAAAAAAAUUAACUGUUUUAAUAAACAUACAAAAAUCAUUGAAACAAUAGAUCCUUAUUAGAGAUUCAAAGACCAAGUUACUUUAGGGAUAACAGCGUUAUUCUUUUUAAGAGUCCUCAUCGAAAAAAGAGUUUGCGACCUCGAUGUUGAAUUAGAAGAUCU
rnacentral:rRNA from 1 species